rnacentral:rRNA from 1 species
GUAGUCAUAUGCUUGUCUCAAAGAUUAAGCCAUGCAUGUCUAAGUAUAAGCAAUCUAUACAGUGAAACUGCGAAUGGCUCAUUAAAUCAGUUAUCGUUUAUUUGAUAGUACCUUACUCCUUGGUGAUCCAUGAUAACUUUACGAAUCGCAAGGCCUUGUGCCGGCGAUGGUUCAUUCAAAUUUCUGCCCUAUCAACUUUCGAUGGUAGGAUAGUGGCCUACCAUGGUUUCAACGGGUAACGGGGAAU